rnacentral:rRNA from 1 species
AUUGAACGCUGGCGGCAUGCCUUACACAUGCAAGUCGAACGGCAGCGGACCUUCGGGUGCCGGCGAGUGGCGAACGGGUGAGUAAUAUAUCGGAACGUACCUUUCAGUGGGGGAGUAACGUAGCGAAAGUUACGCUAAUACCGCAUAUUCUGUGAGCAGGAAAGCAGGGGAGUCGCAAGACCUUGCGCUGAUUGAGCGGCCGAUAUCAGAUUAGCUAGUUGGUGAGGUAAAGGACUCACCAAGGCGACGAUCUGUAGCGGGUCGUGAGAGGAUGAUCCGCCACACUGGAACUGAGACACGGUCCAGACUCCUACGGGAGGCAGCAGUGGGGAAGUUUUGGUACAAUGGGCGGCAAGCCUGAUCCAGCCAUGCCGCGUGAGUGAAG